AUUGAACGCUGGCGGCAUGCCUUACACAUGCAAGUCGAACGGCAGCACGGGAGCAAUCCUGGUGGCGAGUGGCGAACGGGUGAGUAAAGUAUCGGAACGUGCCCAGUCGUGGGGGAUAACGUAGCGAAAGUUACGCUAAUACCGCAUACGAUCUAUGGAUGAAAGCGGGGGAUCGCAAGACCCCGCGCGAUUGGAGCGGCCGAUAUCAGAUUAGGUAGUUGGUGGGGUAAAGGCUCACCAAGCCGACGAUCUGUAGCUGGUCUGAGAGGACGACCAGCCACACUGGGACUGAGACACGGCCCAGACGCCGACGGGAGGCAGCAGUGGGGAAUUUUGGACAAUGGGCGCAAGCCUGAUCCAGCCAUGCCGCGUGCAGGAUGAAGGCCUUCGGGUUGUAAACUGCUUUUGUACGGAACGAAAAGGUUUGGCUUAAUACGUUGAACUCAUGACGGUACCGUAAGAAUAAGCACCGGCUAACUACGUGCCAGCCGCCGCAGUAA
rnacentral:rRNA from 1 species